ensembl:lncRNA
GAGGCGCGCGGUCCCGCCGUGCUCUGCGAUGGACUGACAAGUGGAUCCAAGAUGGCGUAGAAAGUAAGGCUAGAAGGCAGGGAAGUGGACCAGCCGAACACAGCUCCUCCUGAUGAAGUCACACAGCACACUUGGCCCUGAACUCCAUGACGUUAUCUGAAACCAUUAACAACGCGGUGAUAUGGCUGAGUUUCACCCCUUGUUAUGACAUCAAAUGGUACAUUAUAUCCCAGCAAAGAUCCACAGUCACACAAUCCUUUUUGAUAAGUUAUGCAAGUUACUAUGGUAAUGUCAACCCAUAUAUUUUUAAACAUGUAAGAAGGCUUUGUGUGUUUUAUUCCCUUCCGUCUGGGAAUGAAUAACUCCCUGUAAUGUAUAAAAUGUUAAAGUAAUAUCCAGAAUGGAGCUACUGCACUCUCUUAAUAUUUGAACCAAAAGUUCAAAUUUCAUAUUAAAUGGAUAGAAAUAUUGCAGAGCACAUUAC